rnacentral:rRNA from 1 species
UGAUUAAGCUGUAGCACCCUGACUGUGCCUGAUCUUGUCUGAUCUCAGGAGCUGAGCAAGGCCAGGCCUGGCUAGUACUUGGAUGAACAGUAACUCCCGUGUUCAAGUAA